rnacentral:rRNA from 1 species
UGCGAGGCGAAGCAGCGAUGUGAAGCAAAUCGCACCAAAGCCGGUCCCAGUUCGGAUAAGAGGCUGAAACUCGCCUCUUUGAAGUCGGAAUCGCUAGUAAUCGCAGAUCAGCAUGUUGCGGUGAAUACGUUUCCUGGUCUUGUACACACCGCCCGUCAAACCAUGAGAGUCGCCAACACCCGAAGUCCGCUUUGCGGCCUAAGGUGGGGGAGAUGAUUGGGGUUAAGUCGUAACAAGGUACC